AAGUGUCAGUCAGUCAGGGGAAAGUAACUCCUGUCACCAAGGGGAGGUAAGCCAUCAUCAGGGGAAUCCCCACAUCAGAACAAUAAAGAAUACAAGGAACAAUUUUCAGACUCAUCAAUCAAAGUUUCCGGAAGAGUGUUCAAAAGAUGGCUACAAGUUUCCUGCUACAAAAUUCCUGUAGGAAAUUAGUCACAUUUCCUGAGUGGCUAGCGGGAGAUAAGGUUGUCCAGUGUGUUCAGUAACACAUGUGGGAAAUCCUGCACAUGUUUUUACCAGACAUGCAAUCUUGUAGGUGGCAUACAGUGAGAUGCUCCUACCCACCAACUUCAAUGCAAUUCAGGUUUACCUUUCACGAUCUCAGGUUUUUAAUAUUCCGUCAGCACUCGAGUGGCCGUGUUAUUAGACUGUAGGGGAACGAGAGCCAGGUCAUCUGUCACAAAAUCUGCUGUCAUUAUGUCAUCAAUCUGUUCAUUAAUUAAUUAUCAA